UGCGCAAGAACGGGUAUGUCUACUGACCGGGCUGCCAGCGUUAUGGACCGGACUAACAUAAACGCUUGAGUGCCGUGGGGUCGUGCGGGGGCCCUGGAGCCUGCGUGCUCCAAACUCCCCAGUCUAUGUAAUAAAGUUUUUAUGAUGAUGAUA
rnacentral:lncRNA from 1 species